rnacentral:rRNA from 1 species
UACAGAGGUCCCAAGCGUUGUUCGGAUUCACUGGGCGUAAAGGGUGCGUAGGCGGUCGGGUAAGUCUGAUGUGAAAUCUCACAGCUUAACUGUGAAACUGCAUUGGAUACUAUUCGGCUUGAGAGUUGGAGGGGGGACUGGAAUUCUUGGUGUAGCAGUGAAAUGCGUAGAUAUCAAGAGGAACACCAGUGGCGAAGGCGAGUCCCUGGACAACUUCUGACGCUGAGGCACGAAAGCUAGGGGAGCAGACAGG